rnacentral:misc_RNA from 1 species
UACGAAGGGUGCAAGCGUUGUCCGGAUUUAUUGGGCGUAAAGCGUCCGCAGGCGCACAGGAAAGUCAUACUUCAAAAACCGAGGCUCAACCUCGGGCAGGGGUGUGAUACUACUUGUGUUGAAGAAUGUAGGGGCUACUGGAACUUUUCAUGUAGGAGUGAAAUCCGUUGAUAUGACAAGGAACACCGAGGGCGAAGGCAGGUAGCUGGGCAUUUCUUGACGCUAAUGGACGAAAGCCAGGGGAGCGAAACGG